AUUCUGCUGGAAAAAUGGGUUCUUCGAGCCUUUAGACCCAACACAAACUGUGUGUUCAGAUGGGAAUGUCAUUCACUGGAAGCCUGUUGUACCAGCACAUCCACCUAAUUCCUGCCCGAACUGCAGUGAGAGCAAGUUCACAACUUUAAGCUCCAAUAAUUUGUGCAUCUUUGUAACUUUAAGUGGAAGGUAUGAUCUGUAUACCCCAAUAUUUAGGUGCAAGUGCGGAUAUGUAGAUGAAGAACUUGGGAAAGCCAUGCACCAGUCUGGUUUUUAUUCAACUGGAAGAAAUAGUAGCAC